AUUAAACUUCAAACAAAUACAUAAUACGUUUCGGGGCACAGCCCCUUCGCCCCGAAACGUAUUAUGUAUUUGUUUGAAGUU